GACGAACGCUGGCGGCGUGCUUAACACAUGCAAGUCGAACGAAGUGGCGCACGGGGGAGUAACGCGUAAUCAACCUGCCCUUCAGAGGGGGAUAACAGUAGGAAACGACUGCUAAUACCGCAUACUGAAGGAGGGGAUUGGGUCUGAUUAGCUCGUUGGAGGGGUAACGGCCCACGAAGGCGAUGAUCGGUAGCUGGGCGGAGAGGAUGAACGGACACAUUGGGACGGAGACACGGCCCAGACUCAUACGGGCGGCAGAAGUGGGGAAGCAUCCGCAAUGGACGAAAGUCUGACGGAGCAACGCCGCGUGAGUGAUGACGGCCUUCGGGUUGUAAAGUACUGUUAAUCGGGACGCGGUACCGGAGUAGAAAGCCACGCUUAACUACGUGCAAGCGGCCGGGGUAAUC
rnacentral:rRNA from 1 species